AACAGGGAUAAUUUGGUCCCUGUCUGUCUGUCUGUCUGUCUGUCUGUCUGCAGGGGAGGAGAGAGGUGUGUAUGUGUGUGUUUCACUGUGAAUCAUUCUCCCUCUCUGUCUGUGUUCCGCCCUCUCCUCUCCUCCUUUUCUUGAGAUAGUGACCAACAGAGAAAAAGUGCACAAGAGAAAAAAAGGGAGAACUAGACUGAGGGCAAAACAGAUUUAAAAAAAAAAAAAAAAAAAAAAAAAAAAUAUAAGACAAAUGUCAAGAAGAGACUGUAGGUUGAAAGACAGAAAGCGAGGAUGACAGAGAUGGAGAGAAAGACAGAGCGAGAGCUGUAUUGUGCUGGAUAAGGAAACUGAACAGAUGGCCACACCGCAGAGAGAAGACCACAGCGGAGACAUUACAACACUCAGGUGUCCCACAGUCUGAUCGUGCAGCGAAGUGGCAGCUCCCUCAUCAGGAGGUUGUUCAUCCAGCGGAAGGCAAACUGCAGAUUAUGUCCCACUGCCAAAUAAACCGCCACAGAGAGAAGACCAUACGCUGUGUCAGGCGGUCUCAAUAUGUUCUCCAUGUGGAGUUCAAACGUCAGUGUGGAUGUCAGUGUCAUGGCAUGGCAGGCUGGCAUCAGCGCUCGCCGAGAAGAAUGGACGAGAAGCAGAACUGUCAGCUGAAAAACUUGCCGCAUACGGGGCUGUGACACUGAGAACGGCCGCCUUUGUUCCGUCCUCUGUUCUUCAUAA